rnacentral:rRNA from 1 species
UGGGGAAUAUUGGACAAUGGGCGCAAGCCUGAUCCAGCCAUGCCGCGUGAGUGACGAAGGCCUUAGGGUUGUAAAGCUCUUUUUGGCGGGGACGAUAAUGACGGUACCCGCAGAAUAAGCUCCGGCUAACUUCGUGCCAGCAGCCGCGGUAAUACGAAGGGAGCUAGCGUUGUUCGGAAUCACUGGGCGUAAAGCGCACGUAGGCGGAUGUGUCAGUCAGGGGUGAAAUCCCGGAGCUCAACUUCGGAACUGCCCUUGAUACAGCACGUCUUGAGUCCGAUAGAGGUGGGUGGAAUUCCUAGUGUAGAGGUGAAAUUCGUAGAUAUUAGGAAGAACACCGGUGGCGAAGGCGACUUGCUGGACUUAUGGUGACGCUGAGACGCGAAAGCGUGGGGAGCAAACGGGAUUAGAUACCCGCGUAGUCCCUGAGCGGGCUGGCAAGGCGCAU